GGGGCUGUAGCUCAGUUGGACAGAGCGAGCGCCUCCUAAGCGUUAGGUCGUGCGUUCGAGUCGCACCAGUCCCG
rnacentral:tRNA from 1 species